UCUAUUACUGAAAUAGCUUAUAACCGAUUAAAAACUAAGUUUAGAAGGCUAAAAUAUUUGGAUAUUGCGGAUUUUGAUUUAGGAAAUGAAAUGAAUUGCUGCAGCUUGUGUGCUCCAUAAUUUUAUACGAUAGAUUGAACAUAGCGAUAGUCUAUAACUGAAUGACUAUUCUUUAAAUAAUACUGUCUAUCGAGCUAUGGGUGACACUCCUUCGCAACUAAUGUUUAGAGUCACUCAAAAAGGGAAAACUAAUGAUAUGUUACGUAAAAUGUUCGAAUCAGAUGUGGAUCGUGACCUCAAAGAAAUUCGAGAUCGAGCGUCUAAUUAUGUAUAUCAUAGUAUGAUAUCCUUCUGCAACUCACUCCUAUAAAACAGUAAAUUGAAUCGUUCAAACAACAAGUAGAAGUACUAACCAUUAAAGCACGCCGGGGAUAUUCAAGAAGCCGAAACCGACGAGGUCUCCGAGGAUUGAUUUCCAUAAAUAUAACACUAAAUAAAAUACUAUAUAUUGGUACUGUUACGCUAUUUUUAAUAAAGAAGCUUACAGAUGUAAACCACACUAUGCUUUGCGAAAUUCUGAGAUAAUCUAUACACAACAGAUGGGAAACUAAACAAUCUUGACCGGAAGCACACAAGGAAGCUACUUCCAAGCAACAACAUCUCAUAAUCGCAGUUCCGCAAACAAUAUGCAAAUAUUCCAACGUACGACCAUAAGCUCAUCAACGAUAUUACUGUUGGCUAAAUUAAUCGAAUUUACAUUUAAAGACUGAAGAUUCAAUCCAUCUCACAGUUUAAGAAAUUACAAAGAAAAUGAGCUCAAGAAAGAUGAAAUUGAUAAUUCCUUGGAGCUGAUAAGUACAUUCUGCGCAAGUUCACCUAUUUCCGAAAAAAGCAGAGGGCGCCAACUAUUCAAAAGUAUCAAACAUUGAAGAAUUGUAUUUUGAUGUCAUUUGAUAAAGCGAGUCCAAACUACGUCGGCUGCUGCGAGGAAAAUAGGGGAAUGUAAAAAUCACUAAUUUCUUACAAAAACUGCGUAACCUAGCAGGCAAAAUAUGUGGAGACUCAUUACUAACGUUCUCUAUUCAUCAAACAAUUACUCGGAUAAAUUUGGGCAGUUUUAGCUGUGGGAGGUCAUUGAAGACAUCGUUACAUUAGCAGUACCAGACAAAACAAUAGAGAUUAUGUAAUUAAUGCAUUCGCAUCGCUGCAAUCUCCCUGCAACUCACUCCCAACUUGGAACAACAAAUUAUUUCCUUUAAACAACAAUUAGAGGCGUAAUUAAAGCACGAGGGAAUGCUUAAGAAGUCGAAACCGAGGACGAAGCCUUCGAAGGUUAUUAGUCGUAAAUUAUUACGACUAUUAAAGAUUAAGAAAUUUUACAAUAAGUAAUUUUGUUGAAUUAAUUAUCGACUGAUCAGAGUUUAGUCGAAGUUUUCCUUUCAGCGCUUCUCGUGUUGCGCGAGCUUUAAAAU